rnacentral:lncRNA from 1 species
AAAAAGUGUUUCCGGUUCAGAGGGUUCAGAGGUCAUCGUGUUCGUACGUUAGCUAGCUUGAAAAACAAAAGCAGGUAGCAGUUUAUCGGUGUGUUUUCGGGUGCAGCAAAGCGUAAAAAAGAAAGUAAAAUGAAGAAGUUUGAAAACGACAGAGAGGGGCUGCACACAAGUUUCUCUCAGGUCCCGCACAACCUGCAAACUAUCUUCAGUUAACCGCCGCAAAGAUGGACGCUCAGGAACGUUAACGGUUAACGGUCGACUCAACGGGGACGGAAGGUAGAGGUUCCCCACCGAGGAAAUCACGACUGAGGAAGUUUUCCCUAAGGUGGACAUUUAUCUUCAAAUGUAUCUGAAAUUACGGAUUAUAAACUGUUCAAUUGAUCGACCAUCAGCUGAAUAUUGUUGGCCUUCUGUUGCCCAGUGGAGAAUGGAUUUACAUUUCAUCUGGAUGUCGAUGACAUCUUCGAGGAUUCAUCGAAAGUCAGCAGGAAGCAUCUGUAAAUGAAGCAAAUUCAGAUUAUUCAGAAUCAGCAGUGAAGCGUGACAUCAGAUAGUGCUGUGGACACUGAAGCAACAGAGUGGUGACCAAUUACAGAGAAAGGAUGUUGUAUCAGAGCCAACAUACUGCAUUUUUAAAUGUUUUUAUUUUAUCAGCAAACACACACAAAAAAUGUCACACUGAUAAUUGCUAAAAUGUUGAAUAUUCGCACCAAUACUUGGCUAGACUGAUAACCUGUCGACCCCAAUAAAGUAAUUAAAAUAAUAAUCUCGUGGCGGUUAAAAGGUCAGCUUGCUUGUUCACCAAAUAUCAAAAUAUUUGUGUGGUAUGUGGUUAAUCGUGUUUUGUUUAUCUUGACUACAGCCAUGAAACAUUAAAACAGUAAUGUUUAUCAGAUUCUGACUGAACCCCUCAGUGAUUUCAAUAGAUUUAUUCACUUCUACAUCCCCAAAAUGAGCAAGCAGAGCAAAAUGCCCCCUGCAGAAAGGAAAGCGUCAACAAGAAGAGGUAUUUGAUAUGACCGGACACACACAUCAUAACCAACCCUGGUUUUAUUUUUCAUCACCUUAAAGCUCAGUCGGAGGUGUUUCUGCCUUCCUUUAUUCUGAGGACGAACGCCAGCAUGUUACCCACACUUCUGAGCGUGGUUGUUAGCUGUCAGCUUAGCCUUCAGUUAAAAAAGUGCAUGACACAGGAG